UCGUGGUGCAGCUGCGCGCCAGUCGCUACAUUCCCACGCCCUACUGGCUCACUGUCGUCCUGAUCAGCGUCGUGGGAACGCUGAUCUCCGACAAUCUCGUCGACGGCAUGGGGAUUAACCUCGUCACCACGUCGACCGCGUUCGCGAUCAUUCUGGCUGCGGUCUUCACGCUCUGGUAUCUGAGCGAACGGACGCUCUCCAUCCACACGAUUGUCACGCGACGGC
rnacentral:misc_RNA from 1 species